rnacentral:rRNA from 1 species
GGGCCCGCACAAGCGGUGGAGCAUGUGGUUUAAUUCGAUGCAACGCGAAAAACCUUACCAGGCCUUGACAUCCAGAGAACUUACCAGAGAUGGUUCGGUGCCUUCGGGAACUCUGUGACAGGUGUUGCAUGGCUGUCGUCAGCUCGUGUCGUGAGAUGUUGGGUUAAGUCCCGUAACGAGCGCAACCCUUAUCCUUACUUGCCAGCACGUAAUGGUGGGAACUUUAAGGAGACUGCCGGUGACAAACCGGAGGAAGGAGAGGAUGAUGUCAAGUCAUCACGGCCCUUACGUCCUGGGCUACACACGUGCUACAAUGGCCGGUACAGAGGGCAGCCACACCGCAAGGUGGAGCGAA